GGCUUUGGUUUUCGAGUAGAAAGAACCAAAGAAAUUUGGCUUGUCUUCUUCCUUGAAACCUAUACCCGAACCCUCAGGAUGUGUAGCGUCAUACUCAAAGAUGCAACCGGUGGCGAAGUUCAUCAUCAAGAGAUCAUUCUCUCUGCAAACAUCAGCUAGAGUCAAAGUACCUGCGACAUUUACACGAAUGGUCUCUGGUUUGUGAGAUUCACACCAGUCAACGUUGGGUCUGCCAGUUAAACCAGCAGCAUUAAACACAUGAGUAGGUUUGAUGCUACGAAUAUCCGCCACAAGAGAAGCUCUAUCCUCCAGACGUCCUUUCCCAUACUCAUAUGUAAUCCCUUGCUUCUCACAUAGUUUCCCUAGAAGACCACCAAGCCAACCAGUCUUACCAUAGAUCAAAAACUUCAACGAAGCUUUGUCACCAGAAUCACCAUUCUUAGGUGUUACAACCGUAAAUGUCUGGACCGUGUUGCUUGAAACGUCUUUCUUCUCACUAGAUCCAUCAGAAAGUCUUCCACCGGGCAUCAUAAGCAUUCUCGGAUGAGGAAGCAAAGCUCCAGAAACAUCACCCCACCACUCAGGAUUCUGAGUGUACCAGUCCAUUGUCUUCUUCAAUCCAUCUUCCCAAUUUGUUCGCUCUUGCCACCCCAAUUUCUUCAGCUUCUGAUCAUCAAGGAAGUACCUUUGAUCAUUAAAGGGCCGGUUCUCCACAAACUGAAUGCUUGACUCAGGGUCUUUCCCGAAAAGUUUGCAGAUGUCUCUAGCCACAUCGAUCACUCUCCUUUCUCUUUUUGUGCCGACAUUGUAGACAUGACCGAUUUCUCCUUUGUGAAGAACAACCUCAAAAGCCUCAGCAACGUCUUCGCAGUACAAGUAACUCCGGACAUUAGAUCCAUCUCCAUGGAUGGGAAGCGGCUUCCCACUCAUAGCCAACAAGAUGAACUUAGGAAUCAUUUUUUCAGGAAACUGGUUAGGCCCAUAAACAUUGUUCCCGCGAGUCGUAAUAACAGGCAAUCCAUAUGAUCUACCAUAAGCCAUCACAAGCAUCUCAGCACCAGCCUUAGUUGCAGAGUAAGGAUUCGUCGGUAACAGCUGAGAAGCUUCAUGGUUUCCUACAGCAGCAUCCUCAUCGGUUUCUCCAUAGACUUCAUCGGUACUCACAUGGAUAAACCUCCUGAUCUGUCCUGUAACUUUACAGGCUUCCAAAAGAACAUGAGUACCAUAAAUAUUGUUCUUGGUAAACUCAAAGCUAUUACCAAAAGAGUUAUCAACAUGAGUUUGAGCAGCAAAAUGCAUUAUCGUAUCAAUGUUUUCAGUGAUGAGAAGGUAGUUAACGAGAUCAUCACUCGCGAUAUCUCCUUUGACAAACUUGAAAUUUGGUGAAGAAAAAGAAGGAUCAAGAUUCUUCAGAUCUGAACAGUAAUCAAGCUUGUCAA